rnacentral:rRNA from 1 species
AGUGAACGCUGGCGGUAGGCCUAACACAUGCAAGUCGAACGGCAGCACAGUAAGAGCUUGCUCUUACGGGUGGCGAGUGGCGGACGGGUGAGGAAUACAUCGGAAUCUACUUUUUCGUGGGGGAUAACGUAGGGAAACUUACGCUAAUACCGCAUACGACCUACGGGUGAAAGCAGGGGAUCUUCGGACCUUGCGCGAUUGAAUGAGCCGAUGUCGGAUUAGCUAGUUGGCGGGGUAAAGGCCCACCAAGGCGACGAUCCGUAGAUGGUCUGAGAGGAUGAUCAGCCACACUGGAACUGAGACACGGUCCAGACUCCUACGGGAGGCAGCAGUGGGGAAUAUUGGGCAAUGGGCGCAAGCCUGAUCCAGCCAUACCGCGUGGGUGAAGAAGGACUUCGGGUUGUAAAGCCCUUUUGUUGGGAAAGAAAAGCAGCAGGUUAAUACCCCGCUGUUCUGACGGUACCCAAAGAAUAAGCACCGGCUAACUUCGUG